AUUGAACGCUGGCGGCAUGCCUUACACAUGCAAGUCGAACGGUAACGGGCCUUCGGGUGCCGACGAGUGGCGAACGGGUGAGUAAUGUAUCGGAACGUACCUUUCAGUGGGGGAUAACGUAGCGAAAGUUACGCUAAUACCGCAUAUUCUGUGAGCAGGAAAGCAGGGGAUCGCAAGACCUUGCGCUGAUUGAGCGGCCGAUAUCAGAUUAGCUAGUUGGUGAGGUAAAGGAUCACCAAGGCGACGAUCCGUAGCGGGUCUGAGAGGAUGAUCCGCCACACUGGAACUGGGACACGGUCAAGACUCCUACGGGAGGCAGCAGUGGGGAAUUUUGGACAAGGGGGGCAACCCUGAUCCAGCCAUGCCGCGUGAGUGAAGAAGGCCUUCGGGUUGUAAAGCUCUUUCGGCCGGGAAGAAAUCGUAUGGGUUAAUACCCUGUGCGGAUGACGGUACCGGUAUAAGAAGCACCGGCUAACUACGUGCCAGCCGCCGCGGUAACAC
rnacentral:rRNA from 1 species